GCUGGGCAUGAAGGCGAGCGCCUGUGGUCCCAGCUACUUGGGAGGCCGAGGCAGGGGGAUUGCUUGAGCCAUCUGGGGUUUAGUAUGCCAUGCCCACAGGGUAUCCCCAUUAAGUUUGUCAUCAGUGUGGUGACCUCCCAGGAGCAGGAGACCACCAGGUUCCCUAAACAGAGGUGAACUGGCGUAGUUCAGAAAUGGAGCAGGCCAAUACUUUCUGCUUAUCUGUACUAGGAUCAUGCUUGUGAGUAACCAUGCCUCAGCAACAUAGCGAAAGCCCAUCUCUUUU
ensembl:misc_RNA Metazoa_SRP Metazoan signal recognition particle RNA